GGGUGCCCCCUGAGGAUGAUGAGUACUCCGAAUACUCCGAGUAUUCCGUGGAGGAGUACCAGGACCCUGAAGCCCCUUGGGAUAGCGAUGACCCCUGUUCCCUGCCGCUGGAUGAGGGCUCCUGUACUGCCUACACCCUGCGCUGGUACCAUCGGGCUGUACCAGGCAGCACAGAGGCCUGUCACCCUUUUGUCUAUGGCGGCUGUGGAGGGAAUGCCAACCGUUUUGGGACCCGUGAGGCCUGUGAGCGCCGCUGCCCACCCCGAGUGGCCCAGAGCCAGGGGAUAGGUGCUACCCAGGACUGAGGCCCAGAUGAUGAGCUGAGAUUCAGCAUCCCCUAGAGGAGUCAGGGUCUCAGCAGAACCCGCUGUCCCUCCCCUUGGUGCUAGAGGCUUGUGUGCACGUGAGCGUGCGUGUGCAUGUCUGUUAUUUCAGUGACUUGGUCCCGUGGGUCUGGC
rnacentral:lncRNA from 1 species